AUUGAACGCUGGCGGCAUGCUUUACACAUGCAAGUCGAACGGCAGCACAGGGAGCUUGCUCCCGGGUGGCGAGUGGCGCACGGGUGAGUAAUACAUCGGAACGUGUCCUGUUGUGGGGGAUAACUGCUCGAAAGGGUGGCUAAUACCGCAUGAGACCUGAGGGUGAAAGCGGGGGAUCGCAAGACCUCGCGCAAUUGGAGCGGCCGAUGCCCGAUUAGCUAGUUGGUGAGGUAAAGGCUCACCAAGGCGACGAUCGGUAGCUGGUCUGAGAGGACGACCAGCCACACUGGGACUGAGACACGGCCCAGACUCCUACGGGAGGCAGCAGUGGGGAAUAUUGCACAAUGGGGGGAAAACCCUGAUGCAGCGACGCCGCGUGAAGGAAGAAGUAUCUCGGUAUGUAAAACUUCUAAUCAGCAGGGAAGAUAGUGACGGUACCUGACUAAGAAGCUCCGGCUAAAUACGUGCCAGCAGCCGA
rnacentral:rRNA from 1 species